GACGAACGCUGGCGGCGUGCCUAAUACAUGCAAGUAGAACGCACAGUUUAUACCGUAGCUUGAUACACCAUAGACUGUGAGUUGCGAACGGGUGAGUAACGCGUAGGUAACCUGCCUGGUAGCGGGGGAUAACUAUUGGAAACGAUAGCUAAUACCGCAUAAUAUUAAUUAUUGCAUGAUAAUUAAUUGAAAGGUGCAAUUGCACCACUACCAGAUGGACCUGCGUUGUAUUAGCUAGUAGGUGAGGUAACGGCUCACCUAGGCGACGAUACAUAGCCGACCUGAGAGGGUGAUCGGCCACACUGGGACUGAGACACGGCCCAGACUCCUACGGGAGGCAGCAGUAGGGAAUCUUCGGCAAUGGACGAAAGUCUGACCGAGCAACGCCGCGUGAGUGAAGAAGGUUUUCGGAUCGUAAAGCUCUGUUGUAAGAGAAGAACGGGUGUGAGAGUGGAAAGUUCACACUGUGACGGUAUCUUACCAGAAAGGGACGGCUAACUACGUG
rnacentral:rRNA from 1 species